CCAGGCGAUGCUGAAAACCUAACAACAGAGUAAGCA
rnacentral:ncRNA from 1 species